GUGGCAGGGGAGCUGGGGGCUCCCCGGCGGAAGUAGCGCGAGAGGCUGGACAGCAGCGUGCUCUACAAGAAAAAAAGUGGCUUGGAGAGUCAAGAAAUGAAGGUGGAGCUUGGGAAGCUAGCGUGAGGUAUUCCAGGACCUCAUGGCAUAGGACGCUUACCUCAGGUCCAAUAGAACGGAAUGUUUCAUUCAAUCCAGUGACUUGAGCAAGCGCCUCUCUCCUGAAUCUACUGUUUCUCAAGAAUAAUGAGUUUUGAUGCAGCUAGUUAGCAAAAGGCAGGAACACAAAAGCAACUGAACCUUCCAGGUGCUUAAUAUUUAAAGAUCCUUAAUACUUGCAGCAGCAUUAGAAAGAGAAUUAGUGUAAAACUCCCAGGUAUUGAACCAGGACUAAGCACUCUUAUUCCCAGUGAACUGUCACAACAAACCUCUGGGAUAAGAGCUAUUAUUACUCCCAUUUUAUAGACCAGAACAAUGAAACUACUCCCAGAGGC
rnacentral:lncRNA from 1 species